CAAUUCUAAAGAUCAAUACAUGAAACAGUAUUGGCUGAAUCUUAAAUAACUUUUAAUUAAAUACUACAGUGUAAAUAAUUAUUUAAUUAAAAUAUAUAUAUAUAUAUUUAAAAUUUAUAUAUUCAUAAAUUCAUUCACUCAUCAUUCCUUUUUUCCUUCUUUUCUCUCUGUAUGCAACAUCAUGUCUUCUUUGGUGCUGGUCUGUGUGUUUGUGUCUGUGUGUGUGGGUGUGUGUGCUGUUGUCUAUUUUUUAUUAUACUUUUUUUUGCAUUAUUGGUGCCAUUGCUGUGAUACAGCGAGGCUGACUCCGCCUCCUCUGAAGAAGCAUUGAUUAUAACCCGUAAGGAGAACCCGUUUCUCACUCCUCACGGGAGAAAGAGGGCUGAGGAGGAGGAGGAGGAGGAGAGUGAUGAGGAGGGAAGGGGGAGGGCGGUGGUGCCGGACCGCUUUACGGAUGACCUGGCCAGGAGGAGAGCUCGGAGCCGGUCCGGCCCACAGAGAGACCCCCGCCAGUCUCUGGUUCAAAAGGCCAUCACUCAGUCUGACCUCGAGAAGUGGCAGAGGCUUUCUCUGCACACUGAAAACAGCGAGGCCUCCUCCUCUUCCUCCUCCUCUACUGAGGUGUCAAUCAUAACUCGCAAGGACAACGCCUCCCUGACCCCUGAAACAGUGAGGCAGAGAGAGGAUGUGAAGGAGUGUAGUGUUGAAAGGGAGACUGAAGAAAAAGAGAAGGGGGUGGUGCCUAAUGUACAGAAAGAUGACCUGGCCAGGAGGCGUGGCCAAACUGUCGCACUUCCACAGCAGGACCCGCGACUGACCCUGGUUCAGACGGCCAUCACCCAGUCAGACCUGGAGAAGUGGCAGAGGCUCAAGAUGAGCACAGACAGCAGGUGCUUGACCACAGACACUGACCUUUUACUUUGUAGAUUGAACUGACCACUGACCUUACUGACAUUGACCUCUGACUGACACUGUUGAUGAUCCUGAAAUCGCAAAGGGUUACUGUACAAUUGAGAGGACAGGGGAACUUGAUUUACAUCCUCCAUUGGCUUUUUUAGCUAUUACAACUUCAGCUGUUAUGGGAAGGCUUUCCACAAGGUUUAAGAGUGUGUUUUUUGGAACGUUUGACUGAGGAGUAGUUCUUCCACACCUGACUUGCUCAUCCAUGCAUGUCUUUAUGGACCUUGAUUUGUGCGCACUGGUGUUUAGUUAUGUUAAAACUGGAAGGGGUUGUCCCCAAACUGUUUCUGAUAAGAUGGGAGAAUAAAGUUGUCCAAAAUAUCUUGGUAUGAUGAAGC
rnacentral:lncRNA from 1 species